CAAGUCGAACGGUGAAGGAGAGCUUGCUCUCUGGAUCAGUGGCGAACGGGUGAGUAACACGUGAGCAAUCUGCCCUUGACUCUGGGAUAAGCGCUGGAAACGGCGUCUAAUACUGGAUACGAGCUGCGAAGGCAUCUUCAGCAGCUGGAAAGAACUUCGGUCAAGGAUGAGCUCGCGGCCUAUCAGCUUGUUGGUGAGGUAAUGGCUCACCAAGGCGUCGACGGGUAGCCGGCCUGAGAGGGUGACCGGCCACACUGGGACUGAGACACGGCCCAGACUCCUACGGGAGGCAGCAGUGGGGAAUAUUGCACAAUGGGCGCAAGCCUGAUGCAGCAACGCCGCGUGAGGGACGACGGCCUUCGGGUUGUAAACCUCUUUUAGCAGGGAAGAAGCGAAAGUGACGGUACCUGCAGAAAAAGCACCGGCUAACUACGUGCCAGCAGCCGCGGUAAUACGUAGGGUGCAAGCGUUAUCCGGAAUUAUUGGGCGUAAAGAGCUCGUAGGCGGUUUGUCGCGUCUGCUGUGAAAUCUGGGGGCUCAACCCCCAGCCUGCAGUGGGUACGGGCAGACUAGAGUGCGGUAGGGGAGAUUGGAAUUCCUGGUGUAGCGGUGGAAUGCGCAGAUAUCAGGAGGAACACCGAUGGCGAAGGCAGAUCUCUGGGCCGUAACUGACGCUGAGGAGCGAAAGGGUGGGGAGCAAACAGGCUUAGAUACCCUGGUAGUCCACCCCGUAAACGUUGGGAACUAGUUGUGGGGUCCAUUCCACGGAUUCCGUGACG
rnacentral:rRNA from 1 species